GAAUCCAAGGCUGCAGUCUUUCUCUCUAAAACCUAUUUGUGCUUGCAGUGUACCCACUGGUUAAUUUACACAGCUCUGAUUCAUCCUGACAGUCAUAGGCUUCCGACAGCAUGGGGAGAAGGAAGAGGGAACAAGAAAAGAUGUCUCCUGAGGCGAAAUACUCUGCACUUCUACUGGAGUUCCUUAUCUCUAAGAGGCAUUCCCCAGCAGGCAUCUUGAGGUAAAUCGGCAAGACCAGGGUUCAGCAGCCACAUGAUCCGGGCCUGAGAGGGCUCACACCGUGCAAGUCUCCCUCUGGGCCGAUGCACAUGGUCGCUGCCACAGGUUUCCCAGAUGAUUUCAAGGCUUCCACUGCCCACACAGCCUCUUCCACAUGUUCAAAAUACUGAAAGAAGAUCAGAUUAAGAUAUUUUCUCUGCAACAUAGUUUCCCCUGUUCUCCAGCUUGUCUUCACUUGCAUAAAAGGUGAAGGUUUGCAUGACAUUGGAUCCAGCCCUGAGGAACUCUCGAUGAAGCUGGCGGACUGGGAGAUUGAAUGAGGAAAGGAUUCUUUACUUCAAUACCUGGGGUUUGUUGUCUCGCCACUUCGAAGAAUGAAGAGGUGAACACGAAUAA